rnacentral:rRNA from 1 species
CAGUCGCCACGGGAAUACGAAGGGCGCAAGCGUUACUCGGAAUUACUGGGCGUAAAGCGUGUGUAGGUGGUUGUUUAAGUCUGUCGUGAAAGCCCUGGGCUCAACCUGGGAAUUGCGAUGGAUACUGGGCGACUAGAGUGCGGCAGAGGGGGAUGAAUUUCCGGUGUAGCAGUGAAAUGCGUAGAGAUCGGAAGGAACAUCUGUGGCGAAGGCGACUAUCUGGGCCAACACUGACACUGAGGCACGAAAGCGUGGGGAGCAAACAGGAUUAGAUACCCGCGUAGUCCCUGUCUCUUAUACA